rnacentral:rRNA from 1 species
GUAGGUGGCAAGCGUUGUCCGGAAUUAUUGGGCGUAAAGCGCGCGCAGGCGGUCCUUUAAGUCUGAUGUGAAAGCCCACGGCUCAACCGUGGAGGGUCAUUGGAAACUGGGGGACUUGAGUACAGAAGAGGAAAGCGGAAUUCCAAGUGUAGCGGUGAAAUGCGUAGAGAUUUGGAGGAACACCAGUGGCGAAGGCGGCUUUCUGGUCUGUAACUGACGCUGAGGCGCGAAAGCGUGGGGAGCAAACAGGAUUAGAUACCCUGGUAGUCCACGCCGUAAACGAUGAGUGCUAAGUGUUAGGGGGUUUUCCCGCCCCCCUUAGUGCUGCAGCUAACGCAUUAAGCACUCCGCCUGGGGGAGUACGGCCCGCAAGGCUG